rnacentral:rRNA from 1 species
GGAUUAGAUACCCUGGUAGUCCACGCCCUAAACGAUGAGAACUAGACGUCGGGCCUAUUAACGGGCUUGGUGUCGAAGCUAACGCGUUAAGUUCUCCGCCUGGGGAGUACGGCCGCAAGGUUGAAACUCAAAGGAAUUGACGGGGGCCCGCACAAGCGGUGGAGCAUGUGGUUUAAUUCGAUGCAACGCGAAGAACCUUACCAGCCCUUGACAUCCUCGGAACUUACUAGAGAUAGUUUGGUGCCUUCGGGAACCGAGUGACAGGUGCUGCAUGGCUGUCGUCAGCUCGUGCUG